UAAUGAAUCUGCCUCACAAUUUAGUUUGCGUGUAGAAACAUACUUGACGAGACUAUAAACGGACAUAGCCCACUCGACUAAAGACGUCUCUGAACUAAAAGGGCGUAUCGCCAGCAUGGAAGAUUUCGCGAUACAUGCCUUUUUAC